AUGGCGGGGGUGGAAGCCGGGGAUGCGACCGACGCUGUCAAAGAUCCCACCAUGGGAGCCUGUUGCGGAGCUCCACAACAACCACUCGUGGAUUCCAAGGACAAUCCACCGGAUCCGAGCAUGUGCACGCUAGCCGUCACCGGAUUUAGGCCACAACAAGCAAUGGCCGUUCCCCCUCGCGGCGACUCUAGAACCACCUCCAUGUGGCCCUCCACCAUACAGCCCCCACGAUGCGGUGGGCAAGACAUCGAAGGGAGGGGCUGGGACUGGCAAGGCCAAGGCUGGGGGAAGGGUCGCAUCGAUGUGGGGCACCACCGUGGAUGUCGAGGGGGGUCACUGGAGCUAGGCCAAGACCCACACCCAGCACAGACAGAUCACGUGUCGCCGCAGCCAACGGGGGCCGGGAGCUUGGGUGAGGAUCCAUGUCACAGGGAAGACGGGGGCACGGCAAAGCAGGGCUCCGGGGGGAGACGAGGGAGGGCACGGAGGGGGCCCAGGAUCCGGCAAAGGGUAGUGCAGGGCCGGCCGGAGCAGGGAGAUGGAGUGUGCACCGCCGCGCGGGCUCACCCUUCGCGGGAGUAG
rnacentral:rRNA from 1 species